UUGAUCAUGGCUCGAUUGAAAAACAUGGCGGGAUGCUUUACACAUACAAGUCGAACGGCAACACGGACUUCGGUCUGAGCGGCGGUGAACAGUGGUAAUGUAUCGGAACAUUCUAGUAGCGGGGGAUAACUACGCGAAAGCGUAGCUAAUACCACAUACGCCCUUCGGGGAAAGCAGGGGGACCUUCAAGCUCGCACUAUUAAACAACCGAUAUCGGAUUAGCUAGUUGGUGGGGUAACGGCUCUGGGAAAGGCGGCGAUCCGUAGCUGGUUUGAGAGGGACGACCAGCCACACUGGGACUGAGACACGGCCCGGGCUCACGGGAGGCAGCAGUGGGAAUUUUGGACAGUGGAAACCCUGAUCCAGCCAUCCGGUAUUGCGAUGAAGGCUAGCGGGUUGUAAAGCACCUUUUGGCAGGAAGAAACGGCACGGGAUAGCAUUGCAAUAAUGAUACCUGCAGAUAAGCACCAACUAACUACGUGCCAGCAGCGCGGUAAUACCGUAGAGUGCAAGCGUUAAUCAGGAUACUGGGCGUAAAGCGUGCGCAGGCGGACGGAAAGAAGAUGUGAAAUCCCAGAGCUUAACUUUGGAACUGCAUUUUUAACUACCGAGCUAGAGUGUGUCAGAGGAGGUGGAAUUCCCGCGUGUAGCAGUGAAAUGCGUAGAUAUGCGGAGAGACACCGAUGGCGAAGGCAGCCUCCUGGGGAUAACACUGACGCUCAUGCACGAAAGCGAAACUGGGGAGCAAACAGGAUUAUAGAUCCUGAUGGUCCGCCUAAACGAUGUCAACUAGCUGUUGGGGCCUUCGGGCCUUGGUAGCGCAGCAACGCGUGAAGUUGACCGCCUGGGGAAGUACGGUCGCAAGAUUAAAACUCAAAGGAAUUGACGGGGACCCUUUUAAGCGGUGGAUGAUGUGGAUUAAUUCGAUGCAACGCGAAAAACCUUUACUACCCUUAACAUGUCUGGAUCCCGAAGAGAUUUGGGAGUGCUCUCUGAAGAACCGGAACACAGGUGCUGCAUGGCUGUCAGCUCGUGUCGUGAGAUGUUGGGUUAAGUCCCGCAACAGCGCAACCCUUGUCAUUGGUUACUAUUGGUACUCUAAUGGUACCGGUGACAAACCGGGAAGGUGGGGAUGACGUCAAGUCCUCGCGGCCAUAUGGUGAGACUUACCACGUCAUACAAUGGUCGGGACAGAGGGUCGCCAACUGCAGGGGAAAAGCCGUCCCGAAACCCGAUCGUAGUCCGGAUCGCAGUCGCAACUCGACUGCGUGAAGUCGGAAUCGCUAGUAAUCGCGGAUCAGCAUGUCGCGGUGAAUACGUUCUGGGUCUUGUACACACCGCCCGUCACACCGUAGAAUUAGGUUUUGCAAGUGGUCAACUAACCGUAAAGGAGGGCGAUUACCACGGUAGGAUUCAUGACUGGUGAAGUCGUAACAAGGUAG
rnacentral:rRNA from 1 species